GCUCGGCCCCUGUCUCCAGGCAACCGUCCGCGUCCCGCAGAGUCUCGCCUCCGCCGAAGCCGCGGGCGGACGACCUGGGAGACCCCGCCCUGCCCCGCCUCCGGGCUCGGUGACCCCGCCCCGGAGACCGCGUCUGGCCGCCGCUUCUGGGCUCCGGGACCACGGCCCCAACCGGGCUUCCCGCCCCGCCAGGCCCUCCUCCCCCCCGACCCCAGCGCAGCCCCGGACCCCCCCAGUCCAUCCUGGGAGCUCUGAGACCCCCCAGCCCGGCCUCCGCCUCUAGGUCCGGGUAGCCUGACCUCGGCCUUGCCCCUCAGCGCGGGGCGGCUGCUCUCCCUCCGCGUCAGCCCGCUGCCCCUCGGGCUGCUGCAGCCCCGACGCCUCCGUGAGAUCCCUCUGUUCUUCCUAGUGUGGCUUCUGUUUUCCUACGUGGCCCCCGAGUGCCGGAAGCCGCUGGUGUCAGGAAGCACGAGGAAGUGAAAUCCUGCCCAGGCCCCACUGGGGUGUGGUUCUGAGUCCCUGGGACCCCAAAGCCCGCUGUGCUCUUGGCCUCCCCGCCUGCCUUCUCCCCUCCUGCACUGGGCUUGGGGUGGGCUUCCUGCCAGGCAAGGUGCCCCUGGCUGGCCCAGUCUGGCCCUGAGGGCAGGGUCCCCUUCCCUCUCUUACACUCGAGUCGCCUGUGGCUUAUAUACCCCGUAUAAAGAGGCUGAGAAGUCGGUGGGAUUGUAGGGCUAAGGUGGCCAGAGACCGUCUUCCUGGGCCAGAACUGGGUGCCUCUCACCCCACCCCAAACCCAACUAAAAUCAACCCAACCGCAGAGUGAGGAAGGGCUGCUGGAGCGGUGGGCGCAGGGGUCUCAGGACUGUGUGUUGGGGAAGGUCGGGGUGGGAGAUGUGUGGGGUUCUUUCGCGCACCUGGGCAAGGCUCUGCCGCUCCGAGGUCUCCAGGAGACGCAGCAGGCAGCUGAGGUCUGAGGCAUCCGCCUCUGCCAGGCCCUGCAGGUCCCGGGCAGCCCCUGGCACGUCUCCUUUCUUGAGCCGGAGUAGGCCCAGCCGGGCCCGGGCUGCCUCUGACGCUGGGGCAGAGUUCAGGGUGUUCUGCAGGUGGGUGCCAGCCUCCUCGUAGCUGCCUGUCAGGGAUUCAGGAUCACCGUCAGUGUGUAGGGCAGAGGUGCAAGAGAGGCGAGACUCGCUGGCUGCUCCUUCCCUGCCCUACGCCGGCUUAGGGGAGCUGCUGACGGCUCAGCCCCAGGAAGAAGGAGCUGGGAGCAGAGAUGCACCGUGAUUCCAGGCGGAUCACACGGACUCACCGCUGACCCCCCUCCAUGAUGCUGAGCCCCUCACCAUGGGCACUAGAAGGGGCUGCUUUCUCUUCCGGGCAACGAGAGGCAAACUCUGGGCCUACUGGAGCAGCCCUGGGGCCCCCGCAGCCCUCGGGGGGCACAUGCAGACUGCAGAGAGAGCUCCCUUCGGAAUUAGUGGAGAAAGGUUUCCACAUGACCACGGGAUGUAGAAACCCGCGGGAAGGAUGUACGUGUCGGCACACGGGGCGGACGACAGUUCCUCCUGGAACGGGGCCUCAUGUCCCGUGGGCGCCCGGGAAACAAUGGCUGGAGGUUCGCGAAUGAAUGAGGGGGCGAAGGAUCUGAGGCCUUUUAUGGACCAAGAUCACCCCUUGAUUCCCCUCCAUGCAAGCAAAGAGCCCGCUGGGUAAAGUAGCAGAGAGCUCUACGCACCAGGCCUCACAGGGGCCGGGGCCGGAGGUCAUGGCACUGGGCUGGAAGGGAUCUCGGAAGCAGUUGUGGCCCACGUCUCUUUCUCCCAUGUGACAGAAAAGGAUAUAGAGGUCAGUGGAGUGCGGACGGAAGUCCAGACCCCGUGUUCCCCUCUGUGGGGCCGCCACGUACCCCGUGCCAUGAGAACGUCUGCCAGGAGGAGGUGCCAGUGCGGUUGAGGUGCAUCGAUUCUGAUCAGCGCCUCUGCCGCAGCAAGGAGGCCUUGGGAGUCCUUGUCCUUGAGAGGGGCCCCAGGGUCCCCCAGCUGGCUCAGAAGAGCCCGGCAGCGGGAGUAGAGGCCCUGUGUGAUGAGGGACCGGGCUUCUGGCUUCAGAGAGCGGAGCUCUGGGACCACUGUCUCGGGGCCAAGCUUCAGAGCAGAGGUGAAGUCGUCCAGGGCUUCCUGCAAGGAGGGAGGGCGGGGCGGGUACAGAGUCGGCCUAGGCGGAGAGACUGGGCAGAGGGCAGAGCAGGAGGGCUGGCUUUGUCUUUCUCAUUCCCUGGUCUUCUCCUCGGGGCCCUAGAGGGUCUGAACACCCGGCUUCCUGCCCCUUCCCGCUUCCCUGUGGCUGCAGCCUCCUGCCAUCCCCGACACCCUGAGGUGAGUGUCUUACAGCCUGAAACAUCACCGACACCCUGAGGUGAGUGUCUUACAGCCUGAAACAUCACUGACACCCUCAGGUGAGUGAAACAUCACCAACACCCUGAAGUGAGUGUCUUACAGCCUGAAACAUCCCCGACACCCUGAGGUGAGUGUCUUACAGCCUGAAACAUCACCGACACCCUGAGGUGAGUGUCUUACAGCCUGAAACAUCACCGACACCCUGAGGUGAGUGUCUUACAGCCUGAAACAUCACCGACACCCUGAGGUGAGUGUCUUACAGCCUGAAACAUCACCGACACCCUCAGGUGAGUGAAACAUCACCAACACCCUGAGGUGAGUGUCUUACAGCCUGAAACAUCACCGACACCCUGAGGUGAGUGUCUUACAGGCUGGAACAGCACCUAGCACCCUCAGAUGACAGCCUGAAACAUCACCGACACCCUCAGGUGAGCGUGUUACAGCAUGGAACAGCACCCGACACCCUCAGGUGAGUGUCCUACAGCCUGGAACAGCACCCGACACCCCCACAUGAGUGUCUUAUAGCCUGGAACAGCACCCAACACCCUCAGGUGAGUGUCUUACAGCCUGGAACAGCACCCGACACCCUCAGGUGAGUGUCUUACAGCCCGAAACAACACCAAAACCCUCAGCUGAGUGUGUGACAGCCUGGAACAGCAUUCUCCAACCCCAGGUGCACAUCUGACAACAUGGAACAAGACCCAUACUCCCAGGCAGGUGUUCACAGCACCCGACACCCCCAGGUGAAAAUCUGACAGCCUUUACUGCACCUCACACUCCCAGGUGAGCAUCUGACAGCCUGGAACAACAACCCACCCUAAGGUAAGCAGCUGACAGCUUGGCAUGGCAACACACACCCACAGGCAAGCAUCUGAUGGCCUGGAACACCACCCCACACUCCCAGGUGAGAUCAGACAGUCUGCAAUGGCACCCCACACACCCAGGUAAGCAUCUGACAGCCUGGAACAGCAUCCCACCCCCAAGCGACUAUGUGACAGCCUGGAACAGCAUUCACCAACCCCAGGUGAGUAUCUGACAACCUGGAACAGAAUCUCACUCUUCCAGGUGAGGAUCUGACAGCAUAAAACAGCACUCUGCAUCCCGAGGUGAGCAUCUGACAGCAUUGAAUCGCACCUCACACCCCAAAAUAAGCAUUUGAUAGUGUGGAACAGAACCCCACAUCCCCAUGUGAGCAUCUGCCAGCCUGAAAUGGCUCCCCUACCCUAGGUAUGCAUCUGUCAGCCUGAAACAGCACCCUCCACCACCAGGUGAGCUUCUAACAACCGGAAACUGUACAGUACAACCGCAGGUGAGCAUCCGACAGCAUGGAACAACACCCCCACCCACAGGUGAGCAUCUCCCUGCCUGGAACAGUACUUCCCCUCAGGUGAUAGCCUGGAAGAGCAGUCGCCAUCUUCAGGCUAGACCAGCACUUCACACCAUCAGAUGAGCCAGACAGCCUGGAAUGGCAUCCCACACCUUCAGUGAGCAGGAGGAGGCCUGUAAUGGCACUCCAAACCUUCAGGUGAGGAUCUGACAGCCUGGAACAGCACCCCAAAUCCCCAGGUGAGCAUCUGACAGGCUGGAACAGCACCCCACACUCCCAAGUGAGCAUCUGACAGGCUGGAAGAGCACCCACACUCCCAGGGGAGCAUCUGAUGGCCUAGAACAGCACCACCAGACUGAAGUGAGAAUCUGACGGACUGGAACAACAGUCUCCACCCCAGGUGAGCAUCUUACAGCCUCCAACAGCAUCCAGCAUGCCCAGGUGAGUGUGUGAGAGCACAGACAAGUGCCCACACCCUCAGGUGAGAAUGUGAGAGCCUGGCACAGCAGCCCAGGUGAGCAUCAGACAGCCUAGGAAAGCACCCGCCACCCCCAGGUGAGCAUCUGAUAACCUGGCACAGCAUCUCACACCCCCAAGGGAGCAUCUGACAGCGUGGACAAGCCCUGCCCCCAGGUGACAUCUGAAUUCCUGGAAUAUGCGCUGUCCAUUUCCACCAGGGGAGCAUUUGGCAGCCUGGAAGAAGCACCUCUGUAUGUUACCUGUGGUGAAAGCAAGCCUCAGAGGCAGGCCAGGGUUGUUGGCCGAGAGGGGAGGCCUGCCGCUGAGGCCCAGCGCUGACUUGGAGCUCACAGCCCCACGUCGUGCCGUGGGUCCUCAGGGGGAAGAGGCAGUGGGCACGUGAGUGGUGCCGCGUCAGCGCACAUCCUGGGGGCGGAGGUUCCCAGGCGUGAUGGGGCUCCGGCUCCGGUUGUCACUCCCACGUGCUGGCCCUCAGGCGUCCUGGCUGACUUUCCCUGUCUCUGGUCCUGCGGCCCUGGACAGAGCGGGCGGAGUGGGCAGGACCCGGUGGUACCCCUCAGAGGAGGUGCUGACUCCGGCGGGCAGGUGUCCAAGGAUCCCUGGUGGCCACAUCCAGCUGUUAAGUGGGCGUGUCCCGGCCAGCCACCGACGCCUGUCCAGAUGCACGUCUCCCGCCCUGGGGCCCAGGCUGGCACAGAAGUCAGGCCUGCCAGCGGGCCUGGGGGAAACUUGGUGCCCCAGUCCGGCAGCCUGCCCUGCAGCAGCGAGCAUGGCCUCUGGAGGCGCCGUCCCCUGGCCUCUAAGAUGACUUUUCCCUGCUUCCUAGAACUCCCGCCCAUAAGAAAAUCAGAUGCCCUGGCAGGCCCAUUGCCUCUGUACUGUGCUCUUACCCGGUGAAGCGUCCGGGCACACAGCCCAUUUCAACACUGCUCUUGGCUGGGAAGUACCCUUGUCUCUGACAGCCUCCAGCAAGAAAGGGCAGGGCCUCCGGGCUGGGGCUGCCUGGGGGCAGGUCUCUCUUGUGACAGCCUCUUGUCAUGGACCUGGGAGUGGACCCCUCCUGCCCCUGCCCUGCAUCCUGUUGCGUAGACAGCUCAGGCUAGUACCCAAGAGGGUGACCAACGGUCUCACAGGGGACAUUCCUCGUGUCCUGCCUGUUUACGGGCUAAAAGAACCACACUCUUCAGCCACAGGUCCUUCUCCGCCCCACCCGCAUUCACCCGAGGUUGAUGGGAGCGCUGGGCAGGGGACAGGAAGGGGAGGGGCAGGCAGCACCCGCCCUGCUCUUUCUCCCACUUGUUAUCGUGGUAAAAUAUACAUAACGUAA